CAUGAACCAGAAAAGCAGAGAUUCUGCUUGGCAGAACUAAAGGGGAGGUCUCAGGUUCUAGGUAACAGUCAGGAAGUAGUCAUGUUGAUGGAGCUUAUGAGCCAGAAAAACAUGAACGGUCAAAGGACAAAGAGAUCCACAGGAAAUAAGGAGCAGGGCAAGAAACUAGAAGAAGCAAAUGGCACUGACAAGGCAAACGGAAGCAUUAUUGUCCACCUGCCCUCUUAACUCAUUAAGACAAAGUCCACGGUGAAUCUCAGUCAACGGUGACUGAAAGCAGCUGAUUUGGUAGUUAAUGCAGUUGCAGGGGCAGGGGGCAUGGACAGACAGUUGUCUGCGGCAGUAGGAAGUAGGGGUGGGCAGAAGGCACUUCAGCCAACCUCCUCCCACUCUAACAAGCACAGUGCUGCUGUGGAAUGCCGCAAGUGUGUGCGACGGGCCUGGUGGAUUGACUGCAGUGAGCUGGACUGUAGAGCUGAGAUGUGUCCAGAACAGCGGUUUCCCAUCAAGGACAUAGGAAGCCAUGCCGACGUGGGGGAGAAAAAUAGAGAUCAGUGAAGAUACCUUGUGACAUAUUCUGGUGACCUGUGGAGUUAUUCCUAUUAACCAGCCAAGAACCUAAUAUUCUGCAAGUCAAAUCAGAGAAAUGGAACAGACUGUAAGUGUCCACACUGCCAAAUAGGGGAAAAUUCUAAUCCAAGUUACAUCAGAUCUAUUAUGACUUUGGAGGAAAGUCAAAUCUUUAGACUAUUAUAUCCAGGAAACCUAAUCAUCUUCAGUCAGCACCAGCUGCCAUAGCCCAUAAUAUGUCAUGUCCUAUAUAACACUUCAGAAAUUGUUGCAACAGCAUCCAAUCCUUCUGUCCCUCCUUUCCAGGGCAGAAAUAAAUAACUUUUCAACAGAGAAGGAAACA
rnacentral:lncRNA from 1 species